GACGAACGCUGGCGGCGUGCUUAACACAUGCAAGUCGAGCGGUAAGGCCCUUUCGGGGGUACACGAGCGGCGAACGGGUGAGUAACACGUGGGUGACCUGCCCUCAGCUCUGGGAUAAGCCUGGGAAACCGGGUCUAAUACUGGAUAUGACUCCAUGACGCAUGUUGUGGGGUGGAAAGCCUUGUGCGGCUGAGGAUGGGCCCGCGGCCUAUCAGCUUGUUGGUGGGGUGAUGGCCUACCAAGGCGACGACGGGUAGCCGGCCUGAGAGGGCGACCGGCCACACUGGGACUGAGACACGGUCCGGACUCCUACGGGAGGCAGCAGUGGGGAAUAUUGGACAAUGGGGGCAACCCUGAUCCAGCGACGCCGCGUGGGUGAAGAAGGCCUGCGGGUUGUAAAGCCCUUUCGGUGGGGAAGAAAAGUACUCGACCUAAUACGUCGGGACCUUGACGUAACCCACUAAAGAAGCACCGGCUAACUCUGUGCCAGCAGCCG
rnacentral:rRNA from 1 species